rnacentral:rRNA from 1 species
GGAAGGUGCAAGCGUUAAUCGGAAUUACUGGGCGUAAGGCGCGCGUAGGCGGCUAGAUAAGUCGGGUGUGAAAGCCCUGGGCUCAACCUGGGAACUGCAUUCGAUACUGUCUGGCUAGAGUGUGAUAGAGGGAGGCGGAAUUCCACAUGUAGCGGUGAAAUGCGUAGAGAUGUGGAGGAACACCAAUGGCGAAGGCAGCCUCCUGGAUCAACACUGACGCUGAGGUGCGAAAGCGUGGGGAGCAGACAGGAUUAGAUACCCUGGUAGUCCCACGCUGUAAACGAUGUAACUAGCCCGUUGGGAGCAUUUUUGGCUCUUGGUGGCGUAGCUAACGCGAUAAGUUGACCGCCUGGGGAGUACGGUCGCAAGAUUA